GAUGGGAUCUGUAUCUUUUUCUUAUGUCCUUCUUCUACUCUAUCAUGAAGUUUUGAUACCUACUUUUCUACCCUCCCACAUGAUGUUCUCCAUGGUUUUGUUACUGAUGGGAGUUGGUCUUUCUUUCAAAUGUCCAUUUUACAUCAGGUAGUGGUCCAGCAUACACAGUUCAACCUCGAUGAUGUUUCACAUAUUGUUUGGCAUAUAUUGCAAAUGGGGUAUAUUUUGAAUGCUUUUUGCAGCUUAUUUGAGCCCUAUUGCUGUUUACAUUUCACCCCAAAUGAUGUUUCUUGGCAAAUGGAUACUGAGGGGUUUAAGCAUUCGGAUAACUUGCCUUACAUUAUUGAGGUUGUUGAUUGCAAUGACUUUUUUCUCCCAAAUGAUGUUUAACAGUUUAAUGGAUCCGAUGGGACGGGCCCCUAUACUAUGGUAUCUCGAGUGUGGAAGACAUUAAAUUAUUUGCAUCGAUACAUCUCUAAUAUUUUUUAUAUGCCUUUCACAUUGGUUAAGCUGCAUUUUAUCAUGAAUCGGCACUUUGUUUUUCUACAUAAUUCCUUCAUUCUCCACCUUGUACCUGUUAUCUCUGCUAUUCUGCUUAUUUUCUUCAGAGUUUUACCCGGAUGCUGGGCUGCUCUUGCGUUGGAGUUAGAAAUGAAAUCUAUGGGG
rnacentral:lncRNA from 1 species